rnacentral:rRNA from 1 species
UACGAAGGGGGCUAGCGUUGUUCGGAAUUACUGGGCGUAAAUCGCGCGUAGGCGGCUUUGUAAGUUAGAGGUGAAAGCCCAGGGCUUAACCCUGGAAUUGCCUUUAAGACUGCAUCGCUAGAAUCGUGGAGAGGUGAGUGGAAUUCCGAGUGUAGAGGUGAAAUUCGUAGAUAUUCGGAAGAACACCAGUGGCGAAGGCGACUCACUGGACACGUAUUGACGCUGAGGUGCGAAAGCGUGGGGAGCAAACAGG